UGUACAUGUAAGUUUAUGCGUUUUUGAAUAAAUUAAAAAAAAGCAGUACUUAAUUUUAAAAAUUUAAGAAAUUAUGAUUUAGGAAUAAAUUAUAGGCUUAACAAAAUUUGUGCCAGCAGUUGCGGUUAGACAAAUAAGUCAAUUAAUAUAUAUUAAUUAGUAGUUAAAAAUAUGUAUUAAAAUUUAAUUAAAGCUAUUAGGUGAAAUUAGAGCUUUAAAUAAAUUUAUUAUUUUAGUUUUGAAGCUAUGAAAUUUAUUUAUAAACUAGGAUUAGAUACCCUAUUAUUUUAAAUGUAAAAAUUUAUAUUAGGUUAAUAAUAGCUAAGAUCUUGAAAACAAAAGAUUUUGGCGGUAUUUUAGUCUUUUCAGAGGAACCUGUCCUAUAAUUGAUAGUCCACGAUUGAUUAUACUUUUUCUAUAUGUUUGUAUAUCGUUGUAGUUGAGUGUUUUAGAAGAAAAAAUAACAUUCAAGAGUUUUAUUAAAAAGGAAAUCAAAUCAAGAUGCAGUUGAUGGUAAAGAAGAGAUGGGUUACAUUAAAUUUAUUUAUAUGGUUUAGAGGGAUAAUUUCUUUUAUUAAAGCGGAUUUGAAAGUAAUUAAAAAUAUUUAUUUUUUUUGAUUAAGCCCUAAAAUAUGCACAUAUCGCCCGUCGCUUUCACUUAAGGUGAAAUAAGUCGUAACAGAGUAGAUGUACUGGAAAGUGUAUCUAGAAAGCU
rnacentral:ncRNA from 1 species